CACGAGAAUGUGUGUGCUCUGUAUAAUUCCCGGCCCCUGCAGCAGUACCUCCACCCCUUUCUCUUCUAGUCAAGAAAGCCUAAGAGAAAGCAGCUGGACUGGAAUCAGAUGAUUGAUAUUUUCCUGGCUGCCAGCUCCUGCUUCAUCCUCAAUGGCCAGACUCAUGCCCUUACUGAGAAAAUCUACUAGAAGGAAAGAUCUCCAUGCACAGGCAAAGCACAUGUGGUAUUAGCAAGUUUGGCACCUUUAUGGAAGAGGCAUCAUCAGUUUCAUCAGAAUCAGGGCUUUGAAUCACGAUUUCAAUCACAAGAUUUUGUCGGGAAAUGGGAGCAGGCUUCCUAGAAACUCUGACCUUGCAGAGGCCUUCUGGAAGCACAUGAUGAAACCUCAGGCAGCUUGUUCUUUUGACAAGAGAAAAAGAAAGCCCAUUGUCAAAACAAUUUGCCAAGCUUGAACAUUUGUGAGCACGAGUGAG
ensembl:lncRNA